ensembl:processed_transcript Gm10125 predicted gene 10125
GCAGCCCGCGCCCGCCCGCCGCAAGUUUGUUCCCCGCCGCUGCGGCCUGCGCGGAGAGAGGAUCGCGCGCGGGGAGGCGCCGAGGGGCAGCAAGAGUGGAGAAAGUGCGGAAAGAAGCAACAGCCGCUCCACCCGCGGGCGGAAAAGUGGCCGGGCGCGGCGGCGGGAUGCGGCGCAGCUAACGGUCCCCGGCGGCCGCCGGAGCCGCUAGGCGCAGAGGCAGCUCACAAGUGUAGGGCUGGAGCUACAGGAACCAUCCAGGUGCACUGGCUUGGCCUCUGCAUCUUUCUGUGCCACUGUCUCAUUCUGUUUCCGGCUGUGCGUGGAUGCGGAUGGCCCAGAGAGAGAAAGAACACGGAGGAGAAGGUUAGAGACCUGCAGUUCCACCAAGCUCUUGCUUGGCUAUUAAUUGCAUCCAGCUAUGUUGGUGCUGUCAUAGUCCCACCUGGGGUCAUUGUUAAUAACACUCGUCAAGAACUGUGUGGGAACUUCUGCCUCCUUAAAGGGCUUUAGAACUCAUAUGAUAUGUACUCACUGAUAAGUGGAUAUUAGCCCAGAAACUUAGAAUAAAUACCCAAGAUACAAUUUCCAAGACAGAUGAAACUGAAGAAGAACGAAGACCAAAGUGUGGACACUUCGCCCCUUCUUAGAAUUGGGAAGAAAACACCCAUGGAAGGAGUUAGGGAGACAAAGUUUGGAGCUGAGGCGAAAUGAUGGACCAUCCAGAGACUGCCACACCCGGGGAUCCAUCCCAUAAUCAGCCACCAAACGCAGACACUAUUGCAUGCGCCAGCAAGAAUUUUUGAAAGGACCCUGAUAUAGCUGUCUCUUGUGAGGCUAUGCCAGUGCCUGGCAAACACAGAAGUGGAUGCUCACAGUCAGCUAUUGGNNNNNNNNNNNNNNNNNNNNNNNNNNNNNNNNNNNNNNNNNGAAGGGGUCUGCAACCCUAUAGGUGGAACAACAAUAUGAACUAACCAGUACCCCCAGAGCUCGUGUCUCUAGCUGCAUAUGUAGAAGAAGAUGACCUAGUCGGCCAUCAUUGGGAAGAGAGGCCCCUUGGUCUUGCAAACUUUAUGCCCCAGUACAGGGGAAACACCAGAGCCAAGAAGUGGGAGUGAGUGGGUAGGGGAGCCGGGGGUGUAUAGGCAACUUUCAAGGUAGCAUUUGAAAUGUAAAUGAAGAAAAUUCCUAAUAAAAAUUGGAAAAAUAAAAAAUAAUAAUUAGGAAGCUAACCUAUUGUUAUAAAAGUGCAAUAGCAACAGUUUAAAGGGUGUUGUGUUCUUUGCUAAUUAGGAUCUCACUUGAUCUCCGUAACAGUACAAUGACUGGAAGAUCCCUUGGAAACUGCGGGUCUUAGGGGUUACUAAACCAAUCUGUCCAGCCUAGGGUGGUCAGGGAUGGGGACACAGUGUGCUGUUGGGUUGAGGUGACUGCAACCCUGGCCUUAACGGACAUCUAAACUAUUUAACCCAAAGUGAUUUGGGCUAGUUAUGGAAAGUGAAGUGUGUAACAGUGCUGACCAAGUGCAGACACCAUGUGAGAACUUGUCAUUUAGUGGCUUAGUGUCCUUUGCCUUGUUUAUUUCUCCUGAUCUCUGAAGAGCUGCCCAGGUGGAACAAGGCAAAUCAUACCUCAAGGUUAUUGAUAGGGAAGUAGAUAUUGUUAGCUUAGAAGGUAGAUAUCUGCCCAGCUCUGGUACUUUAAAGGCAUAUUAUAAAUAUAAAGGUUUUUUUUUAUCUUUUGUCUGGGAACUGAACAAUCAAAGGUGGGGUUAGAGAUUAUUACCACACUCGAUCCUCCAUUCUCCAUGAAAUACAUCCCUUCUAAACCUGGAGGACCCUAUCCUUGCUUGGCUUCUCUGACACUCUCAAGCAACUCCUUGUCAGGCCCUCUUAGUUGUUGACCUCCCUACACUGCAUGCCAGAGAGCCAGGCUCUGCCCCAGAUUCUUUACAGUUUCUCUCUCCACUUUGUUUUUCUGAUUCUCAUCUUCAUACCAGAGACUUAAUAUCUGCCUGCCAAUGAACUAUAUCUAAGGUCUUAAGAUGGUCGUCAGCACCUACAAUUGCCCCACCUUAGAUGAGAUACUCUUUCUUUCCUGUCCUUCACUCUUUCCUAGCUGCACCAGCCUUGUGUCAUUCCUUGAAAUGCCAGACACAUUCCUACCUUGGCACAGAAGCCUACUUCUAAAUCCAAAUUGGAAUGCUCUCAUGAAAAUGUGGUACAUUGAUCAAUACUAAUUUUUAAAUGCUCUUAUUAAAGGAAUUCAUAAUGUAA